GUAGUCUUGGAUUGGUUAAUGACAAGGAAUAUUAUAUUUGUGUUUGAUUAGGACUUUGGAGAAGCUCGGGAUAGAGGACCGUGCUUGUGGCUACGUGAUAUCGGAAACCAGCGAAUUGAAAGGUAAGGGUAAGGGCAAGCUGGACCAGGCCUGAGGUGGAGAGCUCCGAGGUGAAAUGUACAUAGCCAGCCGUUCGAUCACCACGGUCGAGGAGUGUGUCAGGACGGAGAUUACCUAACCACUCAUUUUGCCUUAGUAUGGCUGUUGAUGUAUAUAGACUUUGUAACUUUUGUAAAUGACUUUUAAACUGUCAUUUUUGGGAUCCCUUGUACAUAAACAAUGUUUAGUAAUGAAAAUGUAUCUUUU